GAAACUUAAGUUAACCAAACUAAGAGCCUUCAAAGCCCUCAAUAGAAGUUAAACUCUUCUAGUUUCUG
rnacentral:tRNA from 1 species